AAAAAUAUUUAGGGGAGCAGGCGCUGAGAGGAAUUAAUAUUCGACCCUUUAAGCUGAUCCGGAUAAUGCCGGCGUAGCGAAUGUCUUCUCACCUAUU
rnacentral:ncRNA from 2 species